rnacentral:rRNA from 1 species
UACGGAGGGAGCUAGCGUUGUUCGGAAUUACUGGGCGUAAAGCGCGUGUAGGCGGCUAUGCAAGUCGGGCGUGAAAUCCCACGGCUCAACCGUGGAAGUGCACUCGAAACUGCGUAGCUAGAGUCCUGGAGAGGAAGGUGGAAUACUUGGUGUAGAGGUGAAAUUCGUAGAUAUCAAGUGGAACACCGGUGGCGAAGGCGGCCUUCUGGACAGUGACUGACGCUGAGACGCGAAAGCGUGGGGAGCAAACAGG